GACGAACGCUGGCGGCGUGCUUAACACAUGCAAGUCGAACGGAAAGGCCCUGCUUUUGUGGGGUGCUCGAGUGGCGAACGGGUGAGUAACACGUGAGUAACCUGCCCUUGACUUUGGGAUAACUUCAGGAAACUGGGGCUAAUACCGGAUAGGAGCUCCUGCUGCAUGGUGGGGGUUGGAAAGUUUCGGCGGUUGGGGAUGGACUCGCGGCUUAUCAGCUUGUUGGUGGGGUAGUGGCUUACCAAGGCUUUGACGGGUAGCCGGCCUGGGAGGGUGACCGGCCACAUUGGGACUGAGGAACGGCCCAGACUCCUACGGGAGGCAGCAGUGGGGAAUAUUGCACAAUGGGCGGAAGCCUGAUGCAGCAACGCCGCGUGCGGGAUGACGGCCUUCGGGUUGUAAACCGCUUUCGCCUGUGACGAAGCGUGAGUGACGGUAAUGGGUAAAGAAGCACCGGCUAACUACGUG
rnacentral:rRNA from 1 species